CCUACGGGAGGCAGCAGUGGGGAAUAUUGCACAAUGGGGGAAACCCUGAUGCAGCGACGCCGCGUGAGUGAAGAAGUAAUUCGGUAUGUAAAGCUCUAUCAGCAGGGAAGAAAAUGACGGUACCUGAGUAAGAUGCCCCGGCUAAAUACGUUCCAGCAGCUGCGGUAAAACGUAGGGGGCAAGCGUGAUCCGGGUUUGCUGGGUGGAAAGGUAGCGUAGACGGUUGUGCAAGUCUGGGGUGAAAGGCGGGGGCACAAACCCGGGGCUGCUUUUGAAACUGGCGGGCUGGAGAGCAGGAGGGGGAGGCGGAAUUCCAGGUGUAGCGGUGAAAUGCGUAGAUAUCAGGAGGAACACCGGUGGCGAAGGCGGCCGGCUGGCCUGCGACUGACGUUGAGGCACGAAAGCGUGGGGAGCAAACAGGAUUAGAUACCCCUGUAGUC
rnacentral:rRNA from 1 species